rnacentral:lncRNA from 1 species
AUUCUUUUUUUUUCACUUUUUUACUUUUCAAUUCUUCCAUAUACAAAGAAAUAACAAGUUGACUAAAUUUUCUCUACUUUUUGAGAUCUUGAUUGUUAUUUGCAUUAUAAUCAUGAUCAUGCUAUAAUCUUAUGUUUGCAGAGAUAGCACCUUAAAUUAUUAAAAACAGUUUAUAUGCAGUACCAAAUUUGUUUUUUAAAAAACAUUCUAUGAUGUAGAAAAAUAUAUUUUUCUUUUACAGAUAAGCUCUAGGGGGAGUCCACUACACCUUAGAUUAUUCAGCUAGAAUAUGGUCUUAAAUCCUAAAUAAACAGUCCUGUUUUUCCAAGUGCACAUUCAGGUAUCCACAUCACAUCACACGACAUUAUCACAUCACAAUCAUUACAUCAUCACAUCAUGUCACAAUCACAUCACAUCAUCAUAUCACAGUCACAUCACAAUCACAUCACAUCAUCACAUCACAAUCACAUCAUCACAUCACAAUCACAUCACAUCACAAUCACAUCAUAUCAUCACAUCACAUCACAAUCACAUCACAUCAUCACAUCACAACACAAUCACAUCACAUCAUCACAUCACAAUCACAUCAUCACAUCACGUCACAAUCACAUCACAAUCACAUCACCACAUCACAAUCACAUCACAAUUACAUCACAUCAUCACAUCACAUCAUCACAUCACAAUCACAUCACAUCAUCACAAUCACAUCACAAUCACAUCACAUCAUCACAUCACAAUCACAUCAUAUCACAAUCACAUCACAUCAUCACAUCACAAUCACAUCACAUCAUCACAUCACAAUCACAUCACAUCACCACAAUCACAUCACAAUCACAUCACAUCAUCACAUCACAAUCACAUCAUAUCACAAUCACAUCACAAUCACAUCACAUCACAUCAUCACAUCACAUCAUCACAUCACAAUCACAUCACAUCAUCACAUCACAAUCAUAUUACAGUCACAUCACAUCAUCACAUAACCUCACAUCAUCACAUCGCAUCACAUCACAUCAGUCAAUCAGGCAGGCAGCUCCUGACCUACA